GGGUACUUAAUGUUUAUAUUUACUAAUAAUAGGUUGAUUUAUAUAUACAAAAAAUAUUUUUAAAGUAAUAUAUUUAAACUAGGGAUCAGCACUUUUAAAAGUAGAUAAAUCUUUGAUUUGUAUUGACCCAAUUAUGUUGAACAGAAAAAAAAACAGUGUGGAUAGUUGGAAAAUCAAAAGGAAUUUCACGUUUUUGGCCAUUGUAAAAAAAAUUGGAAAUAUUCUCAACAUCACUAUGUUUCAAGUUUAGUCUUAAACUUGAAAUUCAUUUUGAAUUAUUUGAAUUGCCCAAAAUUCCAACUUUAGUCAAUAACUCUUUAAAUAUUUGUAAAAACAACCACAGAAGCCAAUUGAUUGUAUUUGAUUAUUCUAUCAUCAUACUGGUGUGGUUUCUGAAAAUAUGACAUCAAGCAUCCAGUGAAGACUCAUAACCAUCACACAGAGUAGUCUGUCAUCACCAAACAUGUGUUUGUUUGGGUCAUGCAUAAGAUGACAUUGUAGUCAGUAGAGAACAUUUUGCCAAUAUUUACAUUUGAUGGCAUGAGAAUGAAAAUGGCAGAAGAUCUAAUUCUGCAUUAUCGAUGUUGCUGAGAUGGGGACAGCCACACCGGGGGCCAGACUCCUGGCUACCAUCAUUACGCAGUGUGUUGUAAAAUUCUGGGCAACCUGACUACACGAGCAAGCAAUGAAGGCUGGUUCACAGGUGCAGGUGGGGCAGCUCCUCACAGUUUUUGUCUCAAUAACAACAAAAAUAAAAUCUAUUGGCAUGUCAAAACUAAUAAGUGUGUUUUAGAAUGAAAACUAUUUUAUCUGUCAUGAUCCGUCAGUCACUCCACUUUACUGGUGGUGGAGAUGUAGCUGAAAGAUUGAACAGCUAAUUAUGUCAAGAUUUGGGGGUAUUGUCAAUUAUUGGUAUUGAGAUCCUGGACACCUAAAGAGUCCUGUCUUCUAGGGUAGACAUUCGGUAACAAUGUAUAUAUCAGAGGGUUGUGUAAGAGCUCUUUGAAGUCAUUGCUGUUUCCUGUAUCUGUAGGUUUAUGUUACAGAGCAUAAAAUAAAUGAUGGUACAGGCACUCAAGAUAAAUACAGUUAGAAGAUUUGUUGGUGCAGAUAAAAAGCAACAUUUCGGCAUACAACAUGGCCUUAGUCAUGCUUGACAAAGGCUCUGUUGUGGGCCAAAAUGUUGUUUUUUAUCUGCUACAAUAAAUCUGCUCACCUUGCGUGCCUGGACCAUCAUUUCUUUUCUGCAAAUUACAUUUUGAGGAUUGGCCAACCUCAGGCCAGGAUGCACCCUGGGAUCCAGGAUAGUGCAGUAUCCCAUACAGUAAUCACAUUUAUGAACUAUAUGUUACAGAGCAUAACCUCCCAUUGGGUCAAAGGUUGAGUACAAGUGGUUAAACUGGAAGAGAUUUAAAUAAAUCAGUGGACAGAAUUUUGAAGGUAGAGCUCAAUGCCCCACCAUCUUAAAAUUAGUAACAGAAAGCUGAAAAGGUUAUGUUGCUUAGAAUUCACCUUUAAAAGAAAAAGAACCAUGUUGGGAUUGGCAAUUACCGAACUCAGUUGUAUAUUUUAUCUUGGCUAUUCAUAAUUAUUACAGUGGGGUUUUCUAUAGCAGUAAAGGAGAAAAAUAAAUCUCCUCCUCAUAACUACCCUGAAACUAAAUAACUUGGUGGCAAGUCUAAUUAUCUAUAAUUAUAAAAUCUUGAAGCCGGUUCUGCUAAUAAGUCAUAAUGAUGGACAAUUAUCUGGUCUAUUACUCACAUAGAUUCCAUUAAUGCCUUGAGGGUGUGAGCGAGUAACUAGGAUUUAAUAUAUAUCUAUUAUAUCCACUAUAUGCGGAGCAGAGAAUAUAGCAGCACUCAGUUAAUAAAAAAAGAUAUUGAAAAUGUAUUUAUGUGUAUCACAUUUGAUGAACAUCUUUUAUGAGAAAAAAAUAGUAUAUGAUUUCAAUCCUGUAUUGCUGUUUACUGAUUAUUUAUUAUGUAUAUCAUAUCAUAUUUGUUCUCCCCCUUUUCUAGUUACAAUAUCUAUAUUUUAAGCAUCUCUACAUCUCUGGCCAUUUAUUACUGCUUUUUAUUUAUGUAUUCAAAUUAAAAAUGCUUCUUUCUCCAUCUCAUGAUUUCAUUCCUGUUUCUGGCCUAUAUUUAUAAUAAAUGGCAUACCAAUCUAGAGAGAGGUCUUUAGGAAUAGAUCGAGAUCCAGACUUUUUUUCGGAGGUGUCAAUGGAACUGGAACUGCCAGCGGAACUUUAUUUCUUUGCCUUAUUGUAUGAUGAUGCCCAGGACGAACUGGUGAUUUGGGAACAAACUUCAGAAGACUGAUGGAACUAUAUUUUGUCCUAAAAACUGUGGCCACAGCAGGCUAUCAAGAUCUUCUUGUUGUGAUCUUUGUAGAUAUACCAUGGUCUCACUCUAAUAUUGAUCAGCAGCAAUGUACAUGUGUGCGUGUCUCUGUAUCUAUGUAUAUUUAUAUAUUUGUGUUUAAAAUGCACAAUGUACUGAAUACUAUAUGGACCUUUUGUGUUUGCUUUAUUUUGUAUGUAUUGAUAUGCUGGGGAACCAUUUUCUUUUACAAUAUGUAGAUGUGGGGCUGAUUUUAAGAUAUCCGAAUGUGUGACCACAAGCCCUUUAGAAUUAGGGGUAGAUCUUUCCACUGUUAAGUAAUUUCAAUCUGUACAUUUUCAUACAACUCUUAUACGAACUAGAGUGAAACAUUGUAAUAUUUUCAUCAACUUUCUAUAAAUUUUAUUGUAGGGAUUCUUUAAAACAACAAAUAAAAGAAAACAAAGCUGGGGAGAAUAUAAAUUCUGUUCUGCAAAUCUUGCACGGAACUUUAUUGCUCAAGUAAAGAAAUGUAUACACAUUGAUAUAUAUUAGGAAAUUUACAAAAACACUACACAAAACUCGUUAUCAGAUAUAGUCACAAAAUAUAUCCACAUAUAGCCCUUACCUUAUUUUGUAGCAAAUAUACUAUUACUAUUAUAUUGGAAUAUUUUCUACAUUCAAUUCCUAAUGGUAGUCUACUGCAACUCACAUAUCUUUCCGACACAAAUAGUAAAGUAGUUUUGGCCCAGAUAUUGUGUCCUAUUAAGAAAGAAGGGAUAACAACUGUUAAGGGAGCAAAAAAAAAAAAAAAGAAUUUGUAAAGCAACAAACAUUCACUUAUUUCUAUAAAACAAAAUGUACAUAUGUUUUAGACUUUAGAUACGCAUAUAUACAUCAGCACAGACUGAUAUAUAGCUAAACUUUCACAGAAUUUUGUGCGUAUUCCUUGUCUUUACCAAUCACUGUUUAUCAAAAUGUAAUUCUAGACUUACACCCUUCACAUCCUCCACAAAAUUUGAUUACAUAUAUUGAAGGUAGAGAUAGUCAUAGCGUUCCGCAUAAUUUGCAGCAUUUAUAAAAAAUAAAAAUAAACACAAUUUGAUUAUAUUGCCAUACUCCUGGUUAUGCAGUGAAAUGAGUGUAGUCAAUAGAACAUAUCUUAAAAUAAAAUUUAAAAAAACUUUUUUUAUUAUGCUAAAUGUUACACUGCAUUUCAGAGAAUAGGAUUGUCUAUUAAUCACCAAGUAAAUUAGGAACUGUUGAUCCCUCUAAAUCCAGGGACUGCCAUUUAGGAUCUGUUACAUAAAUACAAAGAAGCCAGUGGACUUUUGGAUGGAUCUGUUUGGAUCAAACAAUAAUCACAAUUCAAGCAUUCAUUCCUAAUAUCUUUAUAUCUUAAUACUACUGAAACAUGUGCCCCAUAUAUUGAAAUUAGAAGAAUGACAUUCCCAACACCAGAAGUAAUAACACGCAUUUUUGCAAUGUAAGUCUGGUGUUGAAAUUCUUAACUGUAUAGUACGUAGGUUAGUAAAUUUUGGUUCUGGCUCAAAGUUCCAAAAAGAUUUUUAUGGGGAGAACAAGGUAAUACCUACCAGAUUUCUUACACGAACUGUAGCAUUUAAGAAGUCACCCUUUUAAAUAGUACCAUUGUGGAGCAUAAUGGGAGGAGAUAUGGCAAGUGAUCUCUGGUCAGAGAGACAAGAGCAAGUGAUGAGAAAAAAGGACAAAAGGUAACGUACAUAUUCUGUACAUGCAUAUGUGUGCAUAUACAUAUAUAUUUAUACAUGGUACUGAGCUAGUAAAUUUCAUUACUUAAACAAACAAAAAGAGCCUUGCCCAAAAGCCACUUUUUUGUUUUCCACUUAAACAUUGUCUGGAUCCCCCACAUUGACAUUCCCUUAUUUGUGUAUUUUUCACUCUGCUUUUAUCACCUCCCCGGGGAAGCUGGAAGUAAUUUGUGAUAAUAUAAAUAUCUGUGUUACAUCUUUGCCUUAACCCUAUUCCUGGGUCUGGUGCUUCUGUAGCACAUUUUUUUUAACUCUUGCAAGCAUAUCUGGGGCGUGUGUUGGUUGUUCUUGUCAUCCGCAUUGUGAGAUUUUAUUUAUUAACUUCAGUGGACUUCAAUCCAUUUUUUAUAAAACUGAUUCGUUGACGAUUUAUUGUGUGUACAUAAAAACCGCAUUCAAGCAUACAAGCAGCCUGUUGUCUUCGUU